rnacentral:rRNA from 1 species
UACGGAGGGAGCUAGCGUUGUUCGGAAUUACUGGGCGUAAAGCGCACGUAGGCGGCGAUUCAAGUCAGAGGUGAAAGCCCGGGGCUCAACCCCCGGAACUGCCUUUGAAACUAGAUUGCUAGAAUCCUGGAGAGGUGAGUGGAAUUCCGAGUGUAGAGGUGAAAUUCGUAGAUAUUCGGAAGAACACCAGUGGCGAAGGCGACUCACUGGCUCGAUACUGACGCUGAGGUGCGAAAGCGUGGGGAGCAAACAGG